rnacentral:rRNA from 1 species
GACGAACGCUGGCGGCGUGCUUAACACAUGCAAGUCGAACGGAAAGGCCCUGCUUUUGUGGGGUGCUCGAGUGGCGAACGGGUGCGUAACACGUGAGUAACCUGCCCUAGACUUUGGGAUAACUUCAGGAAACUGGGGUUAAUACCGGAUCGGAGCUCCUGUUGCAUGGUGGGGGUUGGAAAGUUUCGGCGGUUGCGGAUGGACGCGCGGCUUACCAGCUUGUUGGUGGGGUAGUGGCUUACCAAGGAUUUGACCGGUAGCCGGCCUGGGAGGGUGACCGGCGACAAUGGGACUGAGAUACGGAGCAGACUGCUACGGGGGGCAGCAGUGGGGAAUAUUGCACAAUGGGCGGAAGCCUGAUGAAGCAACGCCGGGUGCGGGAUGACGGCUUUCGGGGUGUAAACCGCUUUCGCCUGUGACGAAGCGUGAGUGACGGUAAUGGGUGAAGAAGCACCGGCUAACUACGUG